CAUGUCGAGAAAUUUCNAGAGAUGGAUUGGNUGCCUUCGGGAACACGAACACAGGUGCUGNAUGGNUGAUCGAUCAGCUCGUGUCGUGAGAUGUUGGGUNAAGUCCCGCAACGAGNGCAACCCUUGUCCUUAGUUGCCAGCACGNAAUGGUGGGAACUCUAAGGANACCGCCGGUGACAAACCGGAGGAAGGNGGGGAUGACGUCAAGUCAUCAUGGCCCUUACGGCCAGGGCUACNCACGUACUACAAUGGUAGGGACAGAGGGCUGCAAGCCGGCGACGGUAAGCCAAUCCCAGAAANCCUAUCUCAGUCCGGAUUGGAGUCUGCAACUCGACUCCAUGAAGUCNGAAUCGNUAGUAAUCGCNGAUCANNAUUGCUGCGGNGAAUACGUUCCCGGGCCUUGUACACACCGCCCGUCACANCAUGGGAGUUUGUUGCACCANAAGCAGGUAUCUUAACCUUCGGGAGGGCGCUUGCCACGGUGUGGCCGAUGACUGGNGUGAAGUCGUAACAAGGUAACCA
rnacentral:rRNA from 1 species